rnacentral:rRNA from 1 species
UACGGGGGGGGCAAGCGUUGUUCGGAAUUACUGGGCGCAAAGGGCUCGUAGGUGGCCAACUAAGUCAGACGUGAAAUCCCUCAGCUUAACUGGGGAACUGCGUCUGAUACUGGAUGGCUUGAGUUUGGGAGAGGGAUGCGGAACUCCAGGUGUAGCGGUGAAAUGCGUAGAUAUCUGGAGGAACACCGGUGGCGAAGGCGGCAUCCUGGACCAACACUGACACUGAUGAGCGAAAGCCAGGGGAGCAAACGGG